AUACGGAGGAUCCGAGCGUUAUCCGGAUUUAUUGGGUUUAAAGGGAGCGUAGGUGGAUUGUUAAGUCAGUUGUGAAAGUUUGCGGCUCAACCGUAAAAUUGCAGUUGAAACUGGCAGUCUUGAGUACAGUAGAGGUGGGCGGAAUUCGUGGUGUAGCGGUGAAAUGCAUAGAUAUGACGAAGAACACCGAUUGCGUAGGCAGCUGACCAGACCGCAAAUGACGCUCAUGCACGAAAGUGCGGGGAUCGAACAGGAUUAGAUACCCUGGUAGUCCGCACAGUAAACGAUGAAUACUUGUUUUCGGCGAUAUAAUGUCGGAGGCAAAGCGAAAGCGAUAAGUAUUCCACCUGGGGAGUACGCCGGCAACGGUGAAACUCAAAGGAAUUGACGGGG
rnacentral:rRNA from 1 species